AUUUUCCUUAGUGAUGCACUUGUAAAUCUCUUGAUUAAGGCAAAGAGACGAAUAAUGAAUGUGCUGAAUUUAAUUCUAAACCAUUUGAGAAUAUUGAUGUCAGCUGAUUUAAUCAUUAAGCAAUGUACAGAUUAUCAACUUCCCGUUUAAUUCAGUAUAUCCAUCAAAUUUAAAAUGUGAUCCAAAAAGUUCUCGCUUCGAAAAUCGCGAC
rnacentral:lncRNA from 1 species